rnacentral:rRNA from 1 species
GUCGACGCUUCUUUUUCCACCGGAGCUUGCUCCACCGGANAAAGAGGAGUGGCGAACGGGUGAGUAACACGUGGGUAACCUGCCCAUCAGAAGGGGAUAACACUUGGAAACAGGUGCUAAUACCGUAUAACAAUCAAAACCGCAUGGUUUUGAUUUGAAAGGCGCUUUCGGGUGUCGCUGAUGGAUGGACCCGCGGUGCAUUAGCUAGUUGGUGAGGUAACGGCUCACCAAGGCCACGAUGCAUAGCCGACCUGAGAGGGUGAUCGGCCACAUUGGGACUGAGACACGGCCCAAACUCCUACGGGAGGCAGCAGUAGGGAAUCUUCGGCAAUGGACGAAAGUCUGACCGAGCAACGCCGCGUGAGUGAAGAAGGUUUUCGGAUCGUAAAACUCUGUUGUUAGAGAAGAACAAGGAUGAGAGUAACUGUUCAUCCCUUGACGGUAUCUAACCAGAAAGCCACGGCUAACUACGUGCCAGCAGCCGCGGUAAUACGUAGGUGGCAAGCGUUGUCCGGAUUUAUUGGGCGUAAAGCGAGCGCAGGCGGUUUCUUAAGUCUGAUGUGAAAGCCCCCGGCUCAACCGGGGAGGGUCAUUGGAAACUGGGAGACUUGAGUGCAGAAGAGGAGAGUGGAAUUCCAUGUGUAGCGGUGAAAUGCGUAGAUAUAUGGAGGAACACCAGUGGCGAAGGCGGCUCUCUGGUCUGUAACUGACGCUGAGGCUCGAAAGCGUGGGGAGCAAACAGGAUUAGAUACCCUGGUAGUCCACGCCGUAAACGAUGAGUGCUAAGUGUUGGAGGGUUUCCGCCCUUCAGUGCUGCAGCUAACGCAUUAAGCACUCCGCCUGGGGAGUACGACCGCAAGGUUGAAACUCAAAGGAAUUGACGGGGGCCCGCACAAGCGGUGGAGCAUGUGGUUUAAUUCGAAGCAACGCGAAGAACCUUACCAGGUCUUGACAUCCUUUGACCACUCUAGAGAUAGAGCUUCCCCUUCGGGGGCAAAGUGACAGGUGGUGCAUGGUUGUCGUCAGCUCGUGUCGUGAGAUGUUGGGUUAAGUCCCGCAACGAGCGCAACCCUUAUUGUUAGUUGCCAUCAUUCAGUUGGGCACUCUAGCAAGACUGCCGGUGACAAACCGGAGGAAAGGUGGGGAUGACGUCAAAUCAUCAUGCCCCUU